AGUGGAGUCGGUUCUUUCCUGCCAUCUUUAUGUGGGGUCCCGGGAUGAAACUCCGGUCCUUGCGUUUGUAUGGGAAGCUUUUUUUCCAAGCUGAACUAUUUCACCUGCCGCUGAACGCUUCUCUUCCCGGUGCCAGAGUAGCGCCAAAGUGCUGGGGAUGGAGCCCAGGGCCUUGUAUAUGCUAAGCAGGUGAACAGGGACAGGAUGACAGCUCCCUAUUGGUCCUGUGGGACCCUCCCCCCUGCCCACCCUCACCCCAGCACCCAGUAUAACAAACUGGCAGGAAUGAAGGUUUCCUAAGAAGACACCCCUCUGCUCUUCCCUUGGCUGCCAGAUACUGAACAGUGGUCCCUGAGGAACUGGAGUCCUCUGGGAGCCCCAUAUCGGCCGAAGCCUAGUGCCAGCCAGAGGACAGAGCUUACCUCUUCACAAGAUUCCACACUGCACCGUUCUGUCUGAAGACCUUGCAGGAGAGACUGGAGGGGCCACACUGAAUAAAUCUUUUUUCUAAUCU